CAGAGAGAGAGAGAGAGAGAGAGAGAGAGAAAUGGCGAGAAAUAAUCUUUCUCUCUCUCUCUCUCUCUCUCUCUCGCUUUCUCAAUA
rnacentral:misc_RNA from 12 species